UACGUAGGGUGCGAGCGUUAAUCGGAAUUACUGGGCGUAAAGCGUGCGCAGGCGGUUCGUUGUGUCGGCGGUGAAAGCCCCGGGCUUAACCUGGGAAUGGCCGUUGAAACUGGCGAACUGGAGUGUGGCAGAGGGGGGUGGAAUUCCGCGUGUAGCAGUGAAAUGCGUAGAGAUGCGGAGGAACACCGAUGGCGAAGGCAGCCCCCUGGGCUAACACUGACGCCUCAGGCACGAAAGCGUGGGGAGCAAACA
rnacentral:rRNA from 1 species